GACGAACGCUGGCGGCGUGCUUAACACAUGCAAGUCGAACGGAAAGGCCCCUUUGGGGGUACUCGAGUGGCGAACGGGUGAGUAACACGUGAGUAACCUGCCCUUGACUUCGGGAUAACUUCAGGAAACUGGGGCUAAUACCGGAUAGGAAUCCUUGCUGCAUGGUGGGGGUUGGAAAGCUUCGGCGGUUUUGGAUGGACUCGCGGCUUAUCAGCUUGUUGGUGGGGUAGUGGCUUACCAAGGCUUUGGCGGGUAGCCGGCCUGAGAGGGCGACCGGCCACAUUGGGACUGAGAUACGGCCCAGACUCCUACGGGAGGCAGCAGGGGGGAAGAUUGAACAAGGGGCGGAAGCCUGAUGCAGCAACGCCGCGGGCGGGAGGACGGCCUUCGGGUUGUAAACCGCUUUCAGCAGGGGCGAAGCUUGUGGUGACGGUACCUGCAGAAGAAGCACCGGCUAACUACGUG
rnacentral:rRNA from 1 species